rnacentral:rRNA from 1 species
UACGAAGGGUGCAAACGUUGCUCGGAAUUAUUGGGCGUAAAGCGCACGUAGGCGGCAUUGCAAGUCGGAUGUGAAAUCCCUCGGCUUAACCAAGGAAGUGCAUCCGAAACUGCAGUGCUUGAGUACUUAAGAGGAUCGCGGAAUUCCCGGUGUAGAGGUGAAAUUCGUAGAUAUCGGGAGGAACGCCGGUGGCGAAAGCGGCGUGCUGGACCUUUGCUGACGCUGAGACGCGAAAGCGUGGGGAGCGAACAGG